GGAAGGACCGGCCCUCCAGCAUGGAGUUCCUCAUCACUUUAGGCCUUCUUCAUCAGCUGAGGAGGAAGAGUGCCGUGGAGUUGGUGAGACAAGACGACAUCAACAGAAACAUAUACAAGACCAGUCUGGACAGGACCACGUACUUGUACAACUUCUACUACAACUACUACUUCUUAAGCUACAUAAAGUGUUUAAAAAGCCUCUGGA